rnacentral:rRNA from 2 species
UGGAUCCAGACUUUGAUCCUGGCUCAGGAUAAACGCUGGCGGCGCACAUAAGACAUGCAAGUCGAACGGACUUAACCGAAAUGUUUACAUUUUGGAGCGGUUAGUGGCGGACUGGUGAGUAACACGUAAGCAACCUGCCUGUUAGAGGGGAAUAACAGUGAGAAAUCAUUGCUAAUACCGCAUAUGCCAUAGAUACCACAUGGUAUCAGUGGGAAAGGAGCAAUCCGCUAACAGAUGGGCUUGCGUCUGAUUAGAUAGUUGGUGGGGUAACGGCCUACCAAGUCUACGAUCAGUAGCCGGACUGAGAGGUUGAACGGCCACAUUGGGACUGAGAUACGGCCCAGACUCCUACGGGAGGCAGCAGUCGGGAAUAUUGCACAAUGGAGGAAACUCUGAUGCAGUGACGCCGCGUGCAGGAAGAAGGUUUUCGGAUUGUAAACUGCUUUAGACAGGGAAGAACAAAGACAGUACCUGUAGAAUAAGCUCCGGCUAGCUACGUGCCAGCAGCCGCGGUAAUACGUAGGGAGCAAGCGUUAUCCGGAUUUAUUGGGUGUAAAGGGUGCGUAGACGGGAGUUUAAGUUAGUUGUGAAAUCCCUCGGCUCAACUGAGGAACUGCAACUAAAACUGGAUUUCUUGAGUGCGGGAGAGGAAAGUGGAAUUCCUAGUGUAGCGGUGAAAUGCGUAGAUAUUAGGAGGAACACCAGUGGCGAAGGCGACUUUCUGGACCGUAACUGACGUUGAGGCACGAAAGUGUGGGGAGCAAACAGGAUUAGAUACCCUGGUAGUCCACACUGUAAACGAUGGAUACUAGGUGUAGGGGGUAUUAAACCUUCUGUGCCGUCGCAAACGCAGUAAGUACCCCACCUGGGGAGUACGACCGCAAGGUUGCAACUCAAAGGAAUUGACGGA